CACUCCUGCGGGAGGCAGCAGUGGGGAAUAUUGGACAAUGGGCGCAAGCCUGAUCCAGCCAUGCCGCGUGAGUGAUGAAGGCCCUAGGGUUGUAAAGCUCUUUCACCGGUGAAGAUAAUGACGGUAACCGGAGAAGAAGCCCCGGCUAACUUCGUGCCAGCAGCCGCGGUAAUACGAAGGGGGCUAGCGUUGUUCGGAUUUACUGGGCGUAAAGCGCACGUAGGCGGACUAUUAAGUCAGGGGUGAAAUCCCGGGGCUCAACCCCGGAACUGCCUUUGAUACUGGUAGUCUUUAGUUCGAGAGAGGUGAGUGGAAUUCCGAGUGUAGAGGUGAAAUUCGUAGAUAUUCGGAGGAACACCAGUGGCGAAGGCGGCUCACUGGCUCGAUACUGACGCUGAGGUGCGAAAGCGUGGGGAGCAAACAGGAUUAGAUACCCUUGUAGUCCC
rnacentral:rRNA from 1 species